rnacentral:lncRNA from 1 species
CUUUGGUCUGGUAUGAGAUUCUGGAUGGGGUUUGCAUAAUAGUGAAGAAUCGGCAAAAAGUCCAGAUGAAAGGGCCAAAAAUAAGAAUAUAUCGAGAAAAUAGACAGAAACAAAUGAAAUAAAGCAAAUAUUAUACUCUUGUGCUGAAAUAGAAAGAGAAUAAUGUCAACAACAAAAAAUAAAAGACUAGAGAAAAUGGCC